AAAGUGUUUUUUAUAGUAUAUGUAUGGGAUUUUUUUUUAAUCGUUAUUUUUUUAUUUUGGAUAGAAUUUCAGGUUCCUGUGCUCUGAUCUUUCGUCUCUCACUUGAAAGUUGAUUCGACCUAGUCAGCAGGGUAGCAAGACACCUCAUCCCCCAGACACUUCACCCGUCAGACACUUCACCCCUCCAAUUUUGAAGACACCUCAUCCCUUCAGACACUUCACCCCCCAAAAUCAGUAAGACACUUCACCCCUCAUCCAAUUUUUUUCUAUAAAGUAAAUAAAACAAGUUGGUCAACAACAAAAUGCGUAUAAUUUUAUAUGUUUAUAUUUAUUAUUUUUAGUAUUAUUUGAUUAAAAAUUUUGCUUAUUACCUUUAUUUUUACUAAGUUUUAAGCUGAUUUAGGUUAAUUGGUUGUAUUGCCAAAUGAUAUAUAACUACACUUUCAUCCAUUAAGUUUUUAUUGCAUGUCACCUUGUUUAUUCAACAUGUUGAUUAGAUCUAGUUGUUUAUUCAACGGUUAUCUCACAAUUGAUUAGAUAAUUGAAUUAAAAUGGUAUAAUUGUAUGAAAAUUAAAUUUAUUCUUAAUAAAUAAAUUUAAUAAAUAAAUAAAU